CCUACGGGGGGCUGCAGUGGGGAAUAUUGGACAAUGGGCGAAAGCCUGAUCCAGCCAUGCCGCGUGUGUGAAGAAGGCCUUCGGGUUGCAAAGCACUUUCAGUGGGGAAGAAAGCCUUGGGGCUAAUACCCUCGAGGAAGGACAUCACCCACAGAAGAAGCACCGGCUAACUCCGUGCCAGCAGCCGCGGUAAUACGGAGGGUGCGAGCGUUAAUCGGAAUUACUGGGCGUAAAGCGCGCGUAGGCGGUCUGAUAAGCCGGUUGUGAAAGCCCCGGGCUCAACCUGGGAACGGCAUCCGGAACUGUCAGGCUAGAGUGCAGGAGAGGAAGGUAGAAUUCCCGGUGUAGCGGUGAAAUGCGUAGAGAUCGGGAGGAAUACCAGUGGCGAAGGCGGCCUUCUGGACUGACACUGACGCUGAGGUGCGAAAGCGUGGGUAGCAAACAGGAUUAGAUACCCCGGUAGUC
rnacentral:rRNA from 1 species